UUUGUUUUGUUUUGUUUUGUUUUGUUUUGUUUUAAGAAGAUUCUUCAAUUUAUCAGAAAAGGCUUAUUACUUUUUAGCUGAUGAUACUGUUCAGGGUUCAUGUGUUUGAAUUGCUCUUGAAGUCCAUCUUAUGUCUGUAGUCAUAUCCAUAAUUAAGAUUUUAUUUUAUUAAUGAUGGUAUGGCCUAAGCUGAUAUUUCUAGAGGUUAAAAAAGCACAAACCAAACAAAACAUCUCAAUACUGAUUUAAUCAGCCUCCAAAAUAGAUGAUGAAUCUGGCUCUAGUUGUAACCAGUGGGAGGCUUUCCCUUUAGCAGAAAUGCAGAGUAAAUCUUAAAAGGGCUACAGUGAAAACAAUUGGAAACUUAGCAAGAAUGUUGAAGACGUGUUUGUAAAAGAUGCUGGUUUGGGUGAGUAAAGAUGUCCAACACUUUUCUGAUGUGUAAGAGGACUCUUACC